AAAAUUAAAAGGACGCGGUAACCUUGACCGUGAUAAUGUAGCAUAAUCAUUCGCCAUUUAAUUGAUGGAUAGUAUGAAUGGUUGAACGAAUAUUCCACUGUCUUAAAAAGAAAUAACAAAAAAUUAGAAUAAUAGUAAAGAUUCUAUUUAAAAUUGUAAGACGAAAAGACCCUAUAGAGCUUAACUAUAAAUUUUCUACGUAAAUAGUUAUAAAAGAAAAUUUGGUAGUUUAGUUGGGGCGACUGUCUUUUAAAAAUAACAAAGACAAGCAAAAUUAAUAAUAAAAAAUUUUAUUGUAUAAUAAAUAAAUUUAACAAUUACAAAAGUAGGCUAUAAUGACCCGUUACUAUUAAAUAAAAAAAGUAACGAUCAAUAAAUAAAAGCUACCUUAGGGAUAACAGGAUAAUUUUAUUCUAGAGAUCUAAUCGAAAAUAAAGUUUGUCACCUCUAUGUUGAAUUAAGA
rnacentral:rRNA from 1 species